UUUUGGACAAUGGGCGAAAGCCUGAUCCAGCAAUGCCGCGUGCAGGAAGAAGGCCUUCGGGUUGUAAACUGCUUUUGUACGGCCACGAAACGGCCUUUUCUAAUAAAGAGGGCUAAUGACGGUACCGUAAGAAUAAGCACCGGCUAACUACGUGCCAGCAGCCGCGGUAAUACGUAGGGUGCGAGCGUUAAUCGGAAUUACUGGGCGUAAAGCGUGCGCAGGCGGUUCUAUAAGACAGAUGUGAAAUCCCCGGGCUCAACCUGGGAAUGGCAUUUGUGACUGUAGAGCUAGAGUACGGUAGAGGGGGAUGGAAUUCCGCGUGUAGCAGUGAAAUGCGUAGAUAUGCGGAGGAACACCGAUGGCGAAGGCAAUCCCCUGGACCUGUACUGACGCUCAUGCACGAAA
rnacentral:rRNA from 1 species